GCGGCGAAGCGGCCAAGUCAGAAAGCCAGCAGUCUGCAGCCCCGCAGCGCUGCUCUGCUGCUGCCAUGGCACCACGAUGUCAAGGCUGCCGCCUCGGCUG
rnacentral:SRP_RNA from 15 species